rnacentral:rRNA from 1 species
AUUGAACGCUGGCGGCAGGCCUAACACAUGCAAGUCGAGCGGAUGAAGGGAGCUUGCUCCUGGAUUCAGCGGCGGACGGGUGAGUAAUGCCUAGGAAUCUGCCUGGUAGUGGGGGAUAACGUCCGGAAACGGGCGCUAAUACCGCAUACGUCCUGAGGGAGAAAGUGGGGGAUCUUCGGACCUCACGCUAUCAGAUGAGCCUAGGUCGGAUUAGCUAGUUGGUGGGGUAAAGGCCUACCAAGGCGACGAUCCGUAACUGGUCUGAGAGGAUGAUCAGUCACACUGGAACUGAGACACGGUCCAGACUCCUACGGGAGGCAGCAGUGGGGAAUAUUGGACAAUGGGCGAAAGCCUGAUCCAGCCAUGCCGCGUGUGUGAAGAAGGUCUUCGGAUUGUAAAGCACUUUAAGUUGGGAGGAAGGGCAGUAAGUUAAUACCUUGCUGUUUGGACGUUACCAACAGAAUAAGCACCGGCGAACUUCGU